rnacentral:rRNA from 2 species
GAAGUUUUCAGAGAUGAGAAUGUGCCUUCGGGAACCGUGAGACAGGUGCUGCAUGGCUGUCGUCAGCUCGUGUUGUGAAAUGUUGGGUUAAGUCCCGCAACGAGCGCAACCCUUAUCCUUUGUUGCCAGCGAUUAGGUCGGGAACUCAAAGGAGACUGCCAGUGAUAAACUGGAGGAAGGUGGGGAUGACGUCAAGUCAUCAUGGCCCUUACGACCAGGGCUACACACGUGCUACAAUGGCGCAUACAAAGAGAAGCGACCUCGCGAGAGCAAGCGGACCUCAUAAAGUGCGUCGUAGUCCGGAUUGGAGUCUGCAACUCGACUCCAUGAAGUCGGAAUCGCUAGUAAUCGUGGAUCAGAAUGCCACGGUGAAUACGUUCCCGGGCCUUGUACACACCGCCCGUCACACCAUGGGAGUGGGUUGCAAAAGAAGUAGGUAGCUUAACCUUCGGGAGGGCGCUUACCACUUUGUGAUUCAUGACUGGGGUGAAGUCGUAACAAGGUAACCGUAGGGGAACCUGCGGUUGGAUCACCUCCUU